rnacentral:rRNA from 1 species
CCUACGGGUGGCUGCAGUGGGGAAUAUUGCACAAUGGGGGAAACCCUGAUGCAGCGACGCCGCGUGAGUGAAGAAGUAAUUCGUUAUGUAAAGCUCUAUCAGCAGGGAAGAAAAUGACGGUACCUGAGUAGGAGGCCCGGCUAAAUACGUGCCAGCAGCCGCGGUAAUACGGAGGGGGCAAGCGUUAUCCGGGUUUACUGGGUGUAAAGGGGGCGUAGACGGCAGUGCAAGUCUGGAGUGAAAGGCGGGGGCUCAACCCCCGGACUGCUCUGGAAACUGUACGGCUGGAGUGCAGGAGAGGUAAGUGGAAUUCCUAGUGUAGCGGUGAAAUGCGUAGAUAUUAGGAGGAACACCAGUGGCGAAGGCGGCUUACUGGACUGUAACUGACGUUGAGGCUCGAAAGCGUGGGGAGCAAACAGGAUUAGAUACCCCUGUAGUC